CAUAGCAGCCAUAUCACCCUCCAACUCACAACUGGUAACCCACUGAAGCUAAGCAGGUGUGAGCCUGGUCAGUACCUGGAUGGGAGACCAUCUGGGAAAAACUAAGGUUGCUGCUGGAA
ensembl:rRNA 5S_rRNA 5S ribosomal RNA